GUGCAGCCCAAACCCUGAGCCACAGGGGAGAGGCAGCCGGAGGAUCCCGACUCACUGAGGGCGGUUAAUUCAUUCCUCGCAGGCAGCCGGUGCUCCCGGAGCCGGCUCCGCAGGCAGCUCUCCCCCCGCGCCGCUCGCUCUGCCAUCCCGGCGCAGGGAGCUCACGGCUGCGGGCUGAUGCAGACAGAGCCGGAGGGAGAGGGGAACGGGAGGGAUGGAGUCCCGCACGGUGGGAUCCUCCCCGUGAAAGGAAGCGGCCGUAGCCCCUGCAGCUGUGUUUGUGCUGCUCCACGCCCCAGGCACCAGCCUCUCAUCCCUCGGGAGAUCCGACAGCGCUAAUUCACUCUGCACAAAGCCCAGCCUGCAAAGGCUCCUCUCCAGCAGCAGCCUCCCCAUCCCUGCAGCUCCCAGACCUCCGGCUGCCCUCCCUUGCUCUCAAUCCAAUGUCACCUGGACCCAAUGAAGCAGACCCCGAAGUGCCACGGAUGGAUCCCAGGAUUCUUAUUUUCCUCCUGUACGUGAUGAUCCUUCACGAGCUGGUGAGUGGCUGGAUGGAGUACCAGAAGCAGAUAGCCAAGCCAAAGAAGCAGGCGGGUCCAGUUUGGUCUUCUAGCAGCAACACCACCAGAUCAAACCACUCCAGCUUCUCUAGGCCACUGGUGCACUCGGUGCGCAGGGAGAGGUACAGGGACUGGAGGAAACCAGGGCGGAUCAUCCGGAAAGCAUGAGGCUGCAUCCGCUGGGAGCGUGGGGAGAGCUGACGGAGCCGAGGCACCCAUCCCUCACGAGGUCGGCACCCACUCACCACCUCACAGCCGCCAGCAUGAGGCAUCCUCCAGGCACCGUGAUCUGCAACCUGCAGCUUGCUUCUCCUCACUGAGCCUGGCGUGAUGAGAAGGAACCAACCCCCUUCCUCCUGGGAACCAUCCCUGCGUGGUGAGGAACCAGGAUGGAAGCACCUCAGCCAGCAGCGGGAUCAGCAGUGGUGGAUGCGGAUUUACCACUGAACACCGUGAGGUGACUUUUCCUUCUUCUUCCCAAAGGGUUGAGUAGAUUUCCUGGGGGAAGAAGGAAACUUGCUCCUGUGUGGGCAACCCUGGGAAGCCUCCAACUGGUUUCAGGCUCCUCUCCUUCCACUCGAGGGCUCUGUGGCCGGUAAGCAGCAUUUCCCAAAGCGAACGGAAGAUCUUUGGUGUCCGGUUUGCCACCAUUCCCAAGAGAACUUGCACCCAGAGCUCAGGACAGUCUGGAAACACUGGCUCCCACUUAAGUCUUAUUCACUGGGAGUCUGUCAAGUUCUUUCUGUUUUUCUUCACCCUUAUUAAAUGAGUUACUCCAGGGUGGAAGGGGGAGAGCAUUGAGCCGGUGAUUUGGAGUUAUGCUACCGAAUGCAAUGACCUUGUAAUUAGCUUUCUUUGGAGCAUUCCCAGCAGUCGAGCCAAAUGUAAGAGUGACUUUCCAAUGAGCAGCUAGAUGAGAAAGGAAUAAAAUAGCGCUCUUUUAUUCA
rnacentral:lncRNA from 14 species